GCCAGUGUUGCUAAGUGGUUAGAGCAUCAGAUUGCAAACUGAAGGGUCACGGGUUUGAUUCUAGUCAAGGGCA
rnacentral:tRNA from 1 species